CCCGAAGGUAUCCUGAAUCUUUCGCAUUGUUAAUCAUACAAGUGCAUAUAAUAAACACAAAAAUCAACGAUAAUCAUGCCAUUAUAUAAUUUCGAAAAAUUAACGCACUGUAUUUUUUAUAAAUUUAUCAGCACUUUAUCAAAUUUACAAAAUUUAUUUUGUGCCCAAAAUGCAANGCAUAAUAAUUCAAAUAAACAAUAUUUCACAAUUU
rnacentral:rRNA from 1 species